AUCCAGACUCCUACGGGAGGCAGCAGUGGGGAAUAUUGGACAAUGGGGGGAACCCUGAUCCAGCGACGCCGCGUGAGUGAAGAAGUAUUUCGGUAUGUAAAGCUCUAUCAGCAGGGAAGAAGAUGACGGUACCUGACUAAGAAGCCCCGGCUAACUACGUGCCAGCAGCCGCGGUAAUACGUAGGGGGCAAGCGUUAUCCGGAUUUACUGGGUGUAAAGGGAGCGUAGACGGCGAUGCAAGCCAGAUGUGAAAGCCCGGGGCUCAACCCCGGGACUGCAUUUGGAACUGUGUGGCUGGAGUGUCGGAGAGGCAGGCGGAAUUCCUAGUGUAGCGGUGAAAUGCGUAGAUAUUAGGAGGAACACCAGUGGCGAAGGCGGCCUGCUGGACGAUGACUGACGUUGAGGCUCGAAAGCGUGGGGAGCAAACAGGAUUAGAUACCCUUGUAGG
rnacentral:rRNA from 1 species